CUGGGGCUCCACAGGGGACUGUCCUGUCUCCCUUUCUCUUCACCAUCUACACCUCGGACUUCAACUACUGCACAGAGUCUUGCCAUCUUCAGAAGUUUUCUGAUGACUCUGCCAUAGUUGGAUGCAUCAGCAAGGGAGAUGAGGCUACGGUGAUGAGGUACAGGGCUACGGUGGGAAACUUUGUCACAUGAUGUGAGCAGAGUCAUCUGCAGCUUAAUGUGAAAAAGACUAAGGAGCUGGUGGUGGACCUGAGGAGGGCUAAGGCACCGGUGACCUGUUUCCAUCCAAGGGGUCAGUGUGGACAUGGUGGAGGAUUACAAAUGCCUGGGGAUACGAAUUGACAAUAAACUGGACUGGUCAAAGAACACUGAGGCUGUCUACAAGAAGGGUCAGAGCCGUCUCUACUUCCUGAGGAGACUGAGGUCCUUUAACAUCUGCUGGAUGAUGCUGAGGAUGUUCUAUGAGUCUGUGGUGGCCAGUGCUAUCAUGUUUGCUGUUGUGGGCUGGGGCAGCAGGCUGAGAGUAGCAGACACCAACAGAAUCAACAAACUCAUUCGUAAGGCCAGUGAUGUUGUGGGGGUGGAACUGGACUCUUUGACGGUGGUGUCUGAAAAGAGGAUGCUGUCCAAGUUGCAUGCCAUCUUGGACAAUGUCUCCCAUCCACUCCAUAAUGUACUGGUUAGGCACAGGAGUACAUUCAGCCAGAGACUUAUUCCACCGAGAUGCAACACUGAGCGUCAUAGGAAGUCAUUCCCGCCUGUGGCCAUCAAACUUUACAACUCCUCCCUUGGAGUGUCAGACACUCUGAGCCAAUAGGCUGGUCCUGGACUUAUUUCCACUUGGCAUAAUUUACUUAUUAAUUAAUUAUUUAUGGUUUUAUAUUGCUAUAUUUCUUCACUUUUCUUGGUUGGUGUGACUGUAAUUAAAGUAAUGAAACCCAAUUUCCCUCGGGAUCAAUUAAGUAUGUCUGUCUGUCUGAACUACGAUAUCAAUUCAGUUUGCUUCUCCACAGAUGCCGCUGGAUCUGCUGACAGAAGUGAAGUGCUGUCCGAGCAUCCUGUGCUAGACUUGGUAGAUAGGGUUUAUCAUGAAGAAUGUUAUGAAUAAGAUCGAAGAGGUUUACCAGGAUACUGUCUGGAUUAGAGGACAUGAGCUGUAAGGCGAGGUUGGACCUACUGGGGAUAUUUUCCCUAGAGCCGCAGAGACUGAUGGAAGACCGGACAGAGGUUUAUAAGGUUAUGAGAGGCAUGGAGAGAGUUGACAGCCGGUACGUUUAUUUUUAACCGCAGGGUCAAAAUUAGAGGGCGCGCAUUUAAGGUGAGCAGUGAAGAGUUCAAAGGAGAUGUACAGGGUUAGAGUGUUUUUUCUACAAACUGUUGAGUGCCUGGAAUGCACUGCCAGAGUUGGUGGGGGAGGCAAAUACAAUAGGGGAAGGCACAUGUGCCUUAGGUAGGCACAUGGACAUGCAGAGAAUGUGCAGAGAGAGAAGGGAAUAUAUUAAUUAGGCAUCAUUAGCUUAAUGAUUUCAGCACAUCAUCAUGGACAAUAGGGCCCAUUACUGUGGUGUACUGUUAGACGCUUGUGGUGAACUAUGUGCCUGUCUGGACACGCCCCCUGCUGACUGCUCCUGUGGCUCCUCCCACAGGCCCCUGUAUAAAGGCGAUCUGAGGCCUGACGCUCGGCCUCAGUCUCCAGGUCAUAGUAUGAUGGACACUCACUCCUGGUUCCUUCUUCCAGUCAAUAAAAGCCGAUAUCUCGCCUUACGUCUCAGUAUCAAUACCUAUAGGCUGAUCUUUAGAAAGUGCUGCUGCAUAGUAAUGGAAACAAACACAGAGUCACCAUGGCAAUGAAGAUCACCUUGGAGACUGAUUAAUGCUGGUAGGAGCAGCAUGGACAUCGUAUCAGAUGAUGGUAAGAAAAUGUGCUGGAAUCUGGAGCAAGAAGCAGCCUGCUAGAGGAACUCAGUGGGUCAGAGAGCAUCUUCAGAGGGAAAUGGACAGCUGUUGCUUCGGAUAACACCCUUUGUUUGAAUUGAAUUAUCAUCUGGAAAAUGUGUCACCCUUAUUUAAUCUGUUCUGUAUGGAUCUUCUGACCCACAUAAAGCAUUGGCUC